rnacentral:rRNA from 1 species
GAUGAACGCUAGCUACAGGCUUAACACAUGCAAGUCGAGGGGCAGCAUGUUGGUUGCUUGCAACCAAUGAUGGCGACCGGCGCACGGGUGAGUAACGCGUAUCCAACCUACCCAAUACUCAGGCAUAACCCGUUGAAAGACGGACUAAUUCCUGAUGGUAUGUAUUUUUCUCAUGAAUUAUACAUUAAAGAAUUUCGGUAUUGGAUGGGGAUGCGUCUGAUUAGUUAGUUGGUGAGGUAACGGCUCACCAAGACUUCGAUCAGUAGGGGUUCUGAGAGGAAGGUCCCCCACAUUGGAACUGAGACACGGUCCAAACUCCUACGGGAGGCAGCAGUGAGGAAUAUUGGUCAAUGGAUGAAAAUCUGAACCAGCCAAGUAGCGUGCAGGAUGACGGCCCUAUGGGUUGUAAACUGCUUUUAUGUGAGAAUAAAGUUAGGUAUGUAUACUUAUUUGCAUGUAUCACAUGAAUAAGGACCGGCUAAUUCCGUGCCAGCAGCCGCGGUAAUACGGAAGGUCCAGGCGUUAUCCGGAUUUAUUGGGUUUAAAGGGUGCGUAGGCCGUUUGAUAAGCGUGCUGUGAAAUAUAGUGGCUCAACCUCUAUCGUGCAGCGCGAACUGUUGAACUUGAGUGCGUAGUAGGUAGGCGGAAUUCGUGGUGUAGCGGUGAAAUGCUUAGAUAUCACGAAGAACUCCGAUUGCGAAGGCAGCUUACCGUAACGUUACUGACGCUUAAGCACGAAGGUGCGGGUAUCGAACAGG